rnacentral:rRNA from 1 species
UACGAGUGGUGCAAGCGUUAUUCGGAAUCAUUGGGCGUAAAGGGCGCGUAGACGGUAUGAUAAGUCUGUUGUUAAAUUCCUCGGCUCAACCGAGGAUCUGCGGUGGAAACUGUUGUACUAGAGGAUGGAAGAGAGAAGUGGAAUUCUUGGAGUAGCGGUAAAAUGCGUAGAUCUCAAGAGGAACACCAAUGGCGAAGGCAGCUUCUUGGUCCAUAUCUGACGUUGAGGCGCGAAAGCGUGGGGAGCAAACAGG